rnacentral:rRNA from 1 species
UACAGAGGUCUCAAGCGUUGUUCGGAUUCAUUGGGCGUAAAGGGUGUGUAGGUGGCGCCGUAAGUCGGGUGUGAAAUUUCGGACGGCUUAACUCCCGGAAACUGCAUUCGAUACUCGCGGUGCUUGGAGGACUGGAAGAGGAGACUGGGAAAUUCACGGUGUAGCAGUGAAAUGGCGUAGAUAUCGAGUGGAGGAAGACCAGUGG